AAUGGCUAAGAUGAUAACAUUGACGACAUACUGAAAGAAUUUAUAGAUGACGUACAACUAGAAAGGAUAAUAAACAAGUUGGAUAAUAUAAGAGGAUUCCCCUCCCCCCACCAAAUCCUGACAAAAUGUAAUAAUGCAUCAUAUAUAACAAUAUAAGGUUUAACAGGGACAAAUCUAAAGUACUCAAAGAUCCCCAGAUUCAAUUAUACAAGUACAGGUUGGGGGCGAGAUGACUUACAAUUGUUCACGUAGGAAGAUUUAGAGUCUCCAGUUGAUUGUGAGUAGAUGAUGAGUCAACACAGUGUGAUGUAACUUCCAAAAAAAUCAAUCUUUUGUUAUAUUAAUAGAAAUGUAGUGUUCAAGUCAGGAAGUAGUUCUCUAGUACUUACAGGUGAUCAGGCCACUUCUGUUCUAUUUUAUGAAUCCUGAUCUUCAGCCUUUAAGAAAGACAUUGACUGGAGCUCCUGCCAUGGCUCAGCGGAAAUGAACCUGACUAGUAUCCAUGAGGAUGUGGGUUCGAUUCUUGGCCCCGCUCUCUGGGUUUAGAAUCCAGCAUUGCAGUGAGCUGUGGUGUAGUUUAUAGACACAGCUCAGAUCUCGCGUUGCUGCGGCUGUGGUGUAGGCUGGCAACUAUAGCUCCGAUUUAACCCCUAGCCUGGGAACCUCCAUAUGCCGCACCUGUGGCCCUAAAAAACAAAAAAAAGAAAAUAUCAUGUCAGAUAUGAUUAAAAGAUCUAAGAUUUUAUGUGGGUGUUUAAGAAGAAAGGUGAUAUGUAGCAUAUAAACUCCUAAAGUUAGUGGGGGCUAUCCUGCAAGGAGAGAUUAGAUUUCUUCUGGGCAACCCCAAAUGACAAAUGGAAGACUUGGGAGUGGAAGAAGUAAGCAUGUAUAUUACAACCUGUUAGAAUUUAUUAACAGUUAUGUUUGCCCAUCCAUCAAGUGGAUAACAGGAAGAGGUUGUAAGUUCCCUGACCCUGGUCAGAUUCGAACAGAAGUUGGGCAUUCAUGCCUCAUGUGCUGAAUACAUUUGCAAUGGAAGUUCAAACACAGGGGUGAGGGAAUGGGUUAAUCACAAUAGCAAACACAUAUUGAGUGUUUCCUAUAUGGCAGGGACCAUAAUAAGUGAUUAAUAUGGGUUAUUAUUUUUAAUACUCACAUCAAAUCUACUAGCUCCAUCUUAGAGGUGAGAAAAGUGAGGCUCUGAGGGGUUAAGUAACUUGCUCAAGGUCUUACACCUUGUUCAAAGUAGAAUAAAGAGUUUUAACGUAGGCGAUCCUCAGCUUCAACUUAUUAUUCUAUAAGGACUCCUGCUUCUAGAAAACCAUCCUAUCCCACCCUGAGAUUCUACCACUGUAAUGAAGUAAUCAGACCAAGGAGCUAUUAUCACCAGUUGUAAAUGAUCCUAUAGUAAAUAGAUUCUUUCAGUGCAGUAAGCAGGCACUAAAUUAGCCUGAGCAUUUACCACUUGAGGUAUGCUAUAUGGAGCCCAGCAUAGGGCCUGACACACAAUAGGUGCUCAAUAAUUAUUUACUAAGGGAAAAUAAUGAGUGAAUGCAACCACACAUGUUGCAUUUGAAAUGAUAGAAUCUCAAUAUAUUGUGCCUGAGUUAAAACAAGCACAUUUCUGGGUGAUUUACUGAGAACACUGGCAAAAAGUGAUAAUCCAUCAUUCCUGGCAAAGGCCUUGAGAAUUCCUUCUCAGUUCUUUGGACAAUAUUCAUUUAAACAAAUAUUUAUUGAGUACCUGUCCUGUGCCAGGUAUGUCCAAUGUGCUGAGGUGCAGAGGUGAAUCAGAGGAUGCACUGUUAGUGGGGGAGAUGGACAGGUAAGCAAAUUCUUAUGAUACAAUGUGACAAGUACUUAGCAUGUGUGGGUGUGUGUGUGUGUUUUAAGUAUCACAGGGAUACAGUGCAGAAAGGAACUAAUUCUCCUUGACUGAAGGAGUUGUCCAAUACUUUAUGUUUUCAAAAUGACUGUCACAUGUUGCAUGAGUUUAUAUGAUCUUCAUAAAGACCGUAUGAAGUUGUGAUCCCUUUUGAACAUAAGUUGAAGUAGAGCAUCAUAGACGUUAGGUGAGUUCCCCAAUGUUAUGCAGCUAGUAAUAAUAAUUGCUGACAUUUACUGAGUGGUUAGGUUACCUGAGGCUCUGUUCCAAGCCCUAUAAAGAUGAUGCAUCUUCACAACAACUCUAUGAGGUCAUUAUUGAUAUUAUUACCAUUUUACAAAUGAGAAAAUGGAAGUCAAGAUUUAAAUAAUUUGCCUAGAGUCACAUAACUAGCAAGUGGAAAAACAAGAACUUGCACCUACCAUUCCAGCUUUAGCAGGCAUACAUUUACCCACCGCAUUAAAUUACCUUUAACCAGUCCCCUGAAGAGCUGGAAGUCACAUUUAGGUUCUGACUCCAAGUUCAGCAUUCUUUCAAGUGACCUAGCUCUUUAGCAAUAUUACAUCCAAAUAAAAGAAAUAGUGUGUGCCUGGAUACAAGGACAGGUUGUGUAGGUCAGGCACCCAUGGAAAGGUUUUGGGAGAGGAUUGGUAAAAUCUAAAAUAUGCACUAGUGUGUAUGCAGCAUUCUUCAGGGCAGCCAGAAUUUGGCCUCUUGUUUUUCAAGUCAGCAGUCUGAGCUCUAGUGUCUAUCAUUUGUUAUACAUAGGAACUAGCUACCAACGCUUACCCUGCAGCCUUUUUUUUUUUUUCUUCCAUGGCAUGGUAAAGUUCCCAGACCAGGAAUCGAACACAUACCACAGCUGUAACCAGAGCUACAGAGGUGACAACACUGGAGCCUUAACACAUUGAGCCCCAAGGGAACGCCACCCUGCAGCCUUUUAAAGUUUAGUUUAAAUCUUUUAAGAUGACAAGAUGUGAAACAUCAAGGAUGAAACAAGUUAAAUUCAAUACCUAAUAUAUCAGCAAGAAUGGAGAUACAGAAAAGGAUAAAUGAAGCACAUAAUUGCUUAAACUGUCCAAGCUUUCUCUCCAUAAUAACAAUUCUUGGAUUGAAAAAUAGUUCUAUCUAAUGUUAUUGUACCUUAAUAAUUAGGUUGAGUUGGCUCCAUGGCAAAUCUGAGAAAGAAUUGGUUAUUAAAAUGAAUGAAGUAGAUUACCCUUACCUCAGUAAUUAUAACUUCAGUUAAUGUGGAUAUGACCUAAGCAAUUGAAUCGACUGUAUUUUUAAGUCAACUGCCUCCCAUAAUUUUUGGAGAUUCGGUGAUUUAAAAAUCAGCGACAGGUGGAGAUUUCUGUGGUAGGUGGAGGAGCAGCAGAGGUCAAUGUUCUUCGAUAUUCUUUGCUUCAAAGCAAGUGGGGGUUUUUUUGGUUUCGAUUGGUUUUCAAUGUUUUGUUUUGUCAUGUAUGGAGACCUAGUGGAUGCAACUGAUUUAUCUUGGUCUUUGUGUUUAUAGAUUUCUGUUUUCUGGGCUUCAGUUCCUUGGAAACAUUUGUUUUGAUGGUGGCAGGAGAGUUAGUCAUGUUUUAUUUUUGUUGUUCCUAUUUAUUUUUAAGAUCCUUUAGUUCAAGUCCACUUACAAGGUGUUAUAUAACCUGUAUUUAUAUUUCCACAAAUAAAACAUUCCUAGUUGUAAUUUCUAGUAUACUCAUAAAGUCAGCUAAUAACUUGAUGCCCAUCAGAAUGAUUCUGUAAUAUUAGUAAGCUAGAACAAGGAUAUACUUUGGAAAAUUG
rnacentral:lncRNA from 1 species